GGCGACGUAGCCAAGCGGCCUAAGGCGGCGGUUUGCAAAACCGCUAUUCCCCGGUUCAAAUCCGGGCGUCGCCU
rnacentral:tRNA from 2 species